AAUUAUAUAAUAAAUAAAUUAAGUCAAGGUAAACUUCGCUUAUAGGCACCAACCAUAAAAAUGCCAGACAAGAAACCAACCAAUCAUUAAAAAAAAUAAUAAUAAAAAAAUCAAAAACAAAAAAAAAACAACAAAAAAAUCAGACAGGGAUAUAGUACCUUGGUGUGUCUCCAUUUGCAAACAAAAAUAAAAGUCUAAACAAAAAUGGACAUAUCAAUCGAAUUGCGUAAGAAUUGAUGACAACCUCGGAACAGUUCAUAUUACAUCCACUUAUUUUGAACAUUGGUGGAUAGUUGUCUCAUUGGCAAUCAUACCACAUUUCCUUCAGACGGUUAUUGCAUUUACACAGCAACGAAAAUGUAGCGAGGCAGUUGCCUCACCGCCACUAGAGAAGAAGAAAGAUAAUUGUUGAAGUAUUCUAUUGGAAGGGACAAUAUUGUUUUUGCCAUCUGAGGAAUACCUCAUGGUAUUUUAGCAGAAAGGUUGUUAUAGCAGACGACGACUGGUUACAUCCUUUGAACAAGAAGGAAAAGCUGGCUACCAGUCGUCGCGAAUCUCUUAAACCCAGAAGGGACAAGGUAAAAUGACCAUAGCCUAAACAUUGAUUUGCUGAAGUAAUUCAGACGAAACUUUUGGUCAGGAAAUUCUAUAUUUUCAUUUGAAUAAAUUUUUUUCAGUUA